AAUCGAGAGAAUGCUGAAGAAAUGGAGGUGGAACCUUCACUGUAAAGGUGGCUGAUCGGGUAGUUCCCCGCCAUUCACAUCUUCCAGAGCCCGGUCAACCUCCUGAUACACUGUAGUUUCAUGUCACAUAUUUCUACAACUGAUAUAUUAUAUAUGUAUAUCAUGCAACUGCUGCCUUGUAGCGAAUACGAAUUCGCUAAAAUGUUUCAGAUAUCUGUGCAUAAAGCAACAGAAAUAACCUCGUAUUUUUGGCCUUGUAUCAA